GUACCUCUCACAUAAUAUUUCCCUGAUUGAUUCUCUUUCUAUGGGUGGAUGGGGAUUUUCAUCCAAAAAUUUCCCCCAAGCUUGAUCCGGCUUCCAAUUUCAACUCCCCCUGAUUGAUUUUUCUUUCUAUGAAUUUGUUUCAUUUUCACCAAAUAUUUCCCUCCCAACGAAUCCCGCUUUCGAUUUCAAUCCUAAAUGAUUUCCUCUUAAAAGCCCUAAUCAGGAACUCUUUCAGGUAUGUUCUUUGGCCUCCCAAAAUCACAACAAAUCUUCAAAAGCCCUAAAAUUAGAUCUCUUUAACAGAGCAUAUGAUUCCGAACUGCUCUCCUACUCAAAUCUAUACUCGCUCAAGAACAACAGCCAGCCAAAAGCAGUGUUUUCAGCCAAAACCGGGACCUUGGCCAGUUUGGUUCUGGCUGUCGGAGCAGAUAGAUGAGAAUCGGAGGUCGGACUGGAAACCGGUCGGUUGGACUGAAAAACCGGGAGGUUGGAUUGGAUUUUUAAUCGGUCGGUCUCCCUACCUCGAUUCCCUCACACGGUUCUAGCAUCCUCUCAGGAUUUGGUUAUGGCGGAAGGUCAUCGCUACACCCUUGUUGCUCAGUUAGCUUUGUAUGGGUGAAGUUACUAAGUUACAUAAAUUUCCAGCCAAAACCAUGAGUAGAAAUGGUCAGAAGAGGUGGCCAUAGUUCAACAUUUGAUGGUAGACAUGUUUAACGGAGCCUUUCUUGAGGAACAAUAACUUGUAUCUUUACCAGAAUCAUACCAUUUGACAGACAUCAACAAAGCUUGGAGGCUCUGAUGUGGAGAGCUAUCAAACAACUAUCACUUGAAGAUCAAGACGAGUAGAAUAUUCUCUUUAUUAUUAGGAUGUUAUAUGUUGAUGUUAUAUUAUAACUAUUAUGAUGUUAUAUGUUGAUGGUCUAUUUAUAAAAUUGGUUUUAUAAUCUUA